CUUUUUGCCUUUUCUUGAGCCGCUCCCGUGGCAUAUGGAGGUUCCCAGGCUAGGGGUCGAAUCGGAGCUGUAGCUGCCGGCCUAUGCCACAGCCACAGCAACGGCAGAUCCGAGCCGCGUCUGCGACCUACACCACAGCUCAUGGCAACGCUGGAUCCUUAACCUGCUGAUUGAGGCCAUGGAUGGAAUCCGCAACCUCAUGGUUCCUAGUUGGAUUCGUUUCUGCUGCGCCAAGACAGGAACUCCAGAAAAUAAUUUCUUGAUGAAAACUGAUCAAUGUUAGUAUAAUUCAGAUUAAAAAUCUGUAUUUACAUGAGUUGCCAUGUCCUCCAGGUCAAAAUGGUGAGGCCAAAAUACACUGAACUCGUUUUGAGAUUUCUGUGGGCUUGAAGGGACAGAAAGGAAGCGAGUCUCCUCUAAAUUUCGUCCUCAGAGUUCCUUUCUUGUCCCUGGCAUCCCGCCUCUGGUCCUCACCUCUGUAUCCACAGUCACCUGUCCUGACAACUGCACCUGUCCACCCCCGCUCUGAGGUUCACCCUCACACGUCCUCCUUUGGAACAAGGGCAACCUUCCAACCUGCCUCCUUGCUUCCAGUCUUGUCUUCAUUGUCUCCAAGCCAUCCCUCCUCUACCCUGUGGUCCGGGCAAUCUUUCUAACCCUUUGUUUUAAAGGUCUCCAGUGAGAGUUCCCUGGUGGUCUAGUGCUUGGGAUUUAGCACGUUCGCUGCUAUGGCUCAGGUUCAAUCCCUGGUCUGAGAACCGAGAUCCCACAUCAAGUACCGCACGCUGCUGAGGCCAAAAAAAAAAAGCUUUUCAAAGGGUUCAUUCUGCCUGGCUCCCCUGCCCCCAUAGUUACGGGAAUAAGUAAGUUCCUGGCCCUCCUUUUUCAUGCCCCAUCACGAGUGCAUGGGCCAUACCAGCCAUGCAGGUAUUAGCUUCCCAUCUUCCUUCACUCCAGGCUGUUGAGUCCCUAUCUUACUAAGUUCUUGCCUUGCCUGAGUCCAGCCUUUUCAGUACCUCUUUGGUGACUUCUUCAUUUCCAGAAAGACUCCUGCUUCCUCUGGCUUAUUCCUUCAGUUUCUCUCUAGAUCUAGCAGGAUGAGGUCAAUGUGUCUUAGAGGGUGAGGAAGGGGUGGUCCACCCCUGUUAUUCCUCGUCAGAGCAGACCUAGGAGACUCCGUCAAGAAAGGACCGCCAGUUUCUCAAAGUUAAACACAGAACUGCCAUAUAAUCCAGCAACUCUAGCCCUAGGUAUACAUCUAGAAGAACUGAAAAUAAGUACUCAAACAACCGCUUGUGCAUGAAUGUUCACAGCAGCGUUAUUCACAGUAGCCAAAAGGCGGAAACAACCCAAGUAUCCAUCACUGGAUGAAGGAUAAACAAAAUAUGGUACAUCCAUACUACACAUUAUUACUUGAGCAUAAAAAUAAAUGAAGCACUGCUACAUGCUACAAUAUGGAUGACGCUUAUAAACACUCUGCCUAGUGAAAAGAGCCAGGCAGGAAGGGUCAUACAUUAUAUGAUUCCAUUUCUAUGAAAUAGCCAACAUAGAGAAAUUCAGAGACUCAGAAAGCAGAUUGGUGGCUGCAAGGGACUAGGAAGGGAGGGGAGAAUAGGGAGUGACUGCUUCAUGGAUACGGGAUUUUUUUGGAGGGUGAUGAAAAUAUUCUGGACCUACAGGGUGGUGAUGGUUGCACAAUAUUAUGAAUUACCAAAUGCCACCGUGUGGUAUACUUUAAAAUGGUUAAUUGCAUGUUACGUGAAUUUCACCUUAAUAAAAAAAAAAUACAGAAAGAAAAGAUCUCCUUGGGGACGGAGCCAGAGGGUGUGCCAAGAAUAGAGGAUGGUGGGAAAUUCAAUUUUAUACCCUUGUGUCUUUAAAUUAAAGGGGGUGGGGUUAAGAAAAGGGCUCCUCAGUGAGUAUUGCUCCCCCGGACACAUGUCCCAAAGACUAGCCCUGAGCAGGGGUGGGAGGGGUGGACAGAUGGAGGGGUACAUAGGGCUCGAAAGAGGCGAAGAGGGGCCAGCCCUCCCUCCCUGCUGCUGGUUGGCUCACCCAAGGACAGAGGUUUAGACUCAGAGGGCUGGAAAGGGGGCAGGCAGAGGAGGGUGGUCUGAACAGCCACUGCGGAGGGAACCCUUGUUUUCCUACACCUCAUCACGUUUGCUAAGAAAGCAAGACAUUUUAUGUCUAGAAGCACCUGCAAGGUAAGACUCAUAUGUAAGUGGAUCCUGUGAAAUAGACUUUUAUGCAGAGAGCAGAGAUCGGAUCACAAAGCCAUAAGGAGAAAUCUCUUUACCCGAAUUACACAGACCCACUCGUCUGGUUUCCAUUUCAUUGCCUGAGUCUGUUUUAUAGUUGUGCUUUUUCAUGAAAGCUUUUAAGGGAGGCUAUUCCCUGAUGUCAUGCAAAAAAAAUGUCUGAAUACAAUUACAUUACGGAGCAGCACUCUUGGAAGAGAACACAGACACGAAGCUCGCUGGUGUCCUGUUUCCUUCCCCUUAAAAGCUAUUUGUCUGUUCUCUAAAAACAGAAGCCCCCAAACCCGAAUCCCAGGACCCUCUAUCUGUCACAAUGCCCAGCAGCACUGAUUUGGGAAAUGCACGCAGAACUGGGGACCCCCGGGGAGGUGGGAAGGCUGUCAGGGAGCCGUGUUCAGCUCUGGUGACCAGCACACAGUCCUGAGCCACCUUGUCUCAGGUCACACAUUUUACAAUCAAGGGGAGGGAACAGAGCCCCCUGCUAUGGGCUCUCUCAGGAAUCGCCUAUAAAACCUCCUCUCAUUUCCUCCCUAUCCUCAUGCUUUAUUCAGACGCGCCCCAAGGCUCGGGGAAUGGGUUUCCUUAAAAGCUACUAGGAAAAGUGCUCUUAAUCCAAAUCUGCUCUACUGUGAGCACACUCUCCAUGUUUUUCAUCCUUUCCCUAGCUUUCUGGUCCUGGCAGAAGCUGCCAUACUCCUCCCUUUCCAGUAGAGGCUGUUCCUUCUUUGCUUCAUCUCUGACUCAGGCCGAUCAGCAAACGCCUUCUACCUCUACACGAUCCCCUCGCCUUCCCACUCAACCAUCUCUUUGAAGUCCCUACUAUGAAAAUUCAGAGACUCUGAAAGCAGAUUGGUGGCUGCAAGGGACUGGAAAGGGAGGGGAGACUAGGGAGUGGCUGCUUCAUGGAUACGGGAUUUUUUUGGAGGGUGAUGAAAAUAUUCUGGACCUACAGGGUGGUGCCUCCUAACUGAACCGCUGUAUAAACUGUCCCAACCUUCUCCCUGUCCCUAUAUCUUUACUCCCUUAACCACUCAUUCUUCCAGAUAAUCUUGUUUUCUACAAAAGACAUUCAGCAUAAGCUCAAACUUCUGUCCUCCCCCACUUGAAAACGUCUCUAAUGAUUCUUUUGAAACAUUAGCUUGAAAGCAGAGCAGGGUCUGGGAAACGCAGUGUUAGGACAGGAGAGAGAGCCUGGAGAGGGAGGAGGAGAGCCUGCAGACAUAUGGGAGAAAAGGGCGCCGUGGCUGGAGGAAGGUCCUGGGGAUGGAAUGAGCUGCUGCACAAAGGAUUCAUGGACAUGAAGGAGCAUUUUUUUGCUGAGUUUGAAGGGGGCCGGAUAAGAAGAUUGAUGACUGUUACAGAGUGGCCUCCUCCUUACUUUUAAACUCCUUGAAGCUGGCUUCUGACCUUCCCACUACUGGACCUUCUCUCUCAACUCUCACUUAGGACAUUUCCUCCAUCCUUAUUCUCUUUGACCAGAUCUUUUGAUGGUGAGCGGCAUGGCUGACCAACUCUGUCCUUGCUCAUUUUUCCUUAGGUGAGUUCAUGACAAUGGAACCUCUUGGUCUUCUUGAUGGGGCUUGGUUACUUCCUUGGCUAGCUCCUCUCCCAAACUAUUACCAGAGUCUUCUACAAAUGCUCCCUUACCUUUAAUUUCUCUCUCUCCCCACCCCUAAUCCAUCCAUUUAUCUCCCUCUUUCAAUAUAUAGUUACUGAUCCCCUACCAUGUGCCAAGCACAUGGCAGCUAUUAAACUGUAGCUGAAUUAAUCUUAAUGUAUAGCUCUGAUCAUGUUACUUAUUUGUUCAAAAGUUUUUACUGGUUUUCUGGUGCAAAUGAUAUCCAGAUUCACUGCCGUGGCUCUCCCAGUUUCCGUGGACAUCUGCUGUUUUUGUGGGCUUAGCUUCCAUUUGCCUUCUCUGGAUGGCUGUGCCCCAGUCUUCUCCUGGAGAAUCAGCCCUUCCACAAUUUUGGCCCAUGUGGUUUGGGUGUGGUUAUCCUGCCCCCCGCCCCAAGCAUGAGCACCUACCCCAGGUCUAAGCCACUCAGGGCAUCAUCAUCAUCCUUGCCUCAGAGAUUAGUUCCGGGAUGGGCCUGGAACCCAACUACAGUCAUUAAAAAAAGCCUUUAAAAGAGAUUUGAGUGACACAGGCCUCGAAUAAACCAAGAUGCAAAGGCUAGAGCAGCUGCUGCAUCUUAGAACUUCCAGGGGAGUGAGAGCUUAUCUGAAAACAGAACCAACCUAAGGACAGAGGAAGAACAUGGCAAGAAACCAGGUCCUUGGGACACUGUCUGAGCCCUUGCAUCAUGCCACAUCUGAAGCCAGCCCUGACCCCAGAACUCUCAGUCAUGGGAGCCAAUAUGCUCCCUCCACCCAGUGCUGGAGCAGGUUGGAUCAGAGAAAGAGUCUUGCUUGAUCCAAAGCUCCUCUGCUGCAUCCCAGCUUCCUUUCACCUCAUCCUCUGUGCGUAUGAAGACUUGCCUACUAAUUUAUUCCUUUCCUGCACAUGCCUCACACCUGGCCAACCCUGUCUUUCUGGAAUGCUCCCCAUCGUUGCCGUCUUCUCUCACUCAAAUUAUAUCUAACCUUUAAGCUUCAGUUCUAAUGAGCUGUCCUCCAAGAAGCCAUUCGUCUCCCAUUUCCCCCAAUAACAAAUGUUUGUUGAAUAAAUGAUGAACUGAACAAACAAUGACACAGAGAAACAGGGUCCAAGGAGCGGGUUCACCAAAUUGUUGUACAGCCCUGGGUUCCAGCAACCCUCUUCAUCACCCAUCUUCUCACUAAAUCCCUGCUUCCUAUCCUCUUUGGCCAUCAUUUCCCAAAAAGUUUCCCUUGAGAUGCUGGGAAUGUUGACAGAUACUUUUUUGGGUACAUAACAUAUAUGCUUUAUGCAUAUAAGUGAUAACAUACUCUAAGAUUCUCUUCCCUUACAAGUUGUUACAAAAUAUUAAGUAGAGGUCCCUCUGCUAUACAGUAGGUGCUAGUGGAUUAUCUAUUUUAACGAUUUUUAUUUUUUUCCAUUAUAGCUGGUCAAUGUUCGUAGAUACUUAAAACAGAAAACUCUAAACUCCAAAAACCAACCAAAGUGGGGGGGGGAAUCUAUUAAAUAAGUCUGGAAAAUGCUGGAUUAAACAAAUGCUUUUGUUUUUAAUGCACGAAGGUGGGGAUGGAGGCAGGCUACACUCUCCAAUUUACUCAUAAAACAGGUACCAGUACAGAGGGAAGUGCCACAUUCUUCCCUGCAGACACGCUUUGGUUUAAGGUAGUGCGGGUUAUUUUAUAUACAAAUAUAAAUAUCCUACCCUUUGUUCAAGGUGCCUAUUUGCUCUGCACAGCGACUAUUCUGAACACAGAAAACUGUUCAUUGUUAAACAUGGCAU
rnacentral:tRNA from 1 species